CAGUGGGCAGUGGGUCCAGGGGGUUUCUGAGGACAGGGCAUGACCCAGCCCUGCUGCCCCCAAGAUGGCACCUGGCUUGGAGGGGUGAGGGGCCCUGUUAGUCUGACUUUGAAGAAGACCAGCCUUCCAGACUCGCUUGGUGCCCUGACAGCAGCUUGUGUUUCUUCCUUCAAGAGUCUGCUUAGAGAUAAUAAAGAUCAACACUAUUCCUUAUAACAACACCUCAGUAUCCUGCGAGCUGUACACACCAGAGUUUAUUUAACCACCUUGCUGCUGGCAUGAAAGCCUCAGGAGCCCUGGGCUCCCCCAGUGUUGCCUGGGUCUGACUUUGCCUCAGUGAAAACUGCCUCGAAUUCUUUCUUGCACCGAUGGGCAGAUGGGCAGUGUCGGAGGAUCGUGUCAUCUGUCCCGUGGCGCUGGUUGGCUUGGUCAAGUCAGUGUUCAAACUAUCUCCUGCUCUUUCAAGGGGAUCUGGGGCUCUAGAAGAUUAGAGGACUUGGAGAGGUUAGUGACUUGCUCGAGGUCGGCUAGGAAGCAAGACCCAGGAUUCCAACUCA
rnacentral:lncRNA from 10 species